rnacentral:rRNA from 1 species
UGAGCGACCUACCUAAUUGUGGGGGAUAGCCGGACCCAACGGCCGGGUAAUACCGCAUACGAUCGGAGAGGGGCAUCCCUUUCUGAGGAAAGCCUUCGGGCGCAAUUUGAGGGACUCGCGGCCUAUCAGCUAGUUGGUGUGGGUAAUGGCCCACCAAGGCGACGACGGGUAGCCGGCCUGAGAGGGUGACCGGCCACACUGGGACUGAGACACGGCCCAGACUCCUACGGGAGGCAG